UACUGGGUUCCAUAACUGCUUUGUGGACAAAAGAAUUCAGUAACAGCUACUAUUGAGUUAUGGUGAAGCUUUCGUACAGCGUUUUUUGGGUGCAAGUCACACAGACUUCAGCCAUCUAGCAGUACAGUGCCAGUCUAAAUUAACUAUGUAGGUUUCUGUGGUGGGUUGGCCCUGGCUAGCAACCUGGCUAGCAACCAAGUUUAUCUAUGCAAAUAAUGAUCCGCAGGUUUCCUCAGGCAGAAGUUUCUCUGUCCCAAAGUAACCUUUGCUGACUGGUGAAGACUUUCACAUCUCAUAGCAUAGCAAGGCCUAAUUCAAGCUAAAUCACAGAAAGUGCAGCCAGAAAGGACAUGAAGAAACAUCUAACCCAUCUUGGUGCCCAAGGAGGAAUUUAGAAACUGGAGUUUUCAAUUUAUGCAAACAAGGUGAAUGAAGAAAUUGUUUCCUGGACCUGAAGGAAUUGCCUCUUCAGGGCCCAUCUAUUACUCCUGAGAGAUGUCAAACAGCUCUCCAUUAAACUAUAAGGCACCCCACGUGAAGAGAUUUCAUCUAUGCUAAGGUCUGCUGUGCAUGUCCUGCAAACUCACUAACAUCUAAAAACUCAGAGAUCUCAGGGGCUUUGGGGUGAGCAGUUCCACUUCUGACCAUCACAUCGCCUCUUGUCAAACAAAACAUUUUCUCAGGGGACUGAGAGUGAUUGUCUCCUGUUGCAGCUCCUGGCAAGAGGAAAAUGAACUCACUGGUAGCCGGAGGCUGCUGAGUGCCCUUAACUGCUCUGGGGCAGUUGGGUAACAAAAGAAAACUGGUAUUUUCAAAGCACAAAUAGUUGGCUGCAACACACUGUGGCAUGGCUACCGUCCCAGAAGGAUGGACUGCUGGACAUCACCAGGGAGAAGAGGCCUGAAGUUGGGACCCAAUCCACCCCUCAGUGAAACCAGCAGGAGUCUUCCCAUUGACUUCAAUGAGCUUUUCAUCCAGCCUCUGCUUGGUCUUAAGUUCUUUGUGAUUAAACUUUCCUUUUUUCCUGAUAAUGCAGACAGGAUUUGAUGAAGUUGGCAUGCAGCACACAUCCAUCACACCCUGAGACAUGAGCUUCUAAAAGGGAUGCAGCUACCCAGAGCCACUUCCCUGGGAGCAGGGACAACUGUCCUUCCUUCUAGGUGGCUGCAAUGUAAAAUGGUAGGAUACUGUCAGCCUCUGCAGCUCCACUGCCUGCUGCAGCUUCUCAUGCUCUUACAGUUCAGGAUAAAAUUUGUUUCAAAUCUUGAAUUUUUGCAAUCCUUGUUGAUACUUUCUGUAUUCUUUGAAUGCCAGCUGUUCUAGGAUUAAAUAAGCAAACCAUCUGAUUGACAAAAAACACCAUCCUCAAACCCAGAAUUUUGGGUGUAUCUUUUAGGUGGUGUGCCGCAAACCAAUUUGCGAUUAAUGAAUGCCCGUGUCAUCUAAUAAAGUUGGAUCUGACAGUGCAAUGUUAAUAUCUAAAAGCAGAUACUGGUAGCUGAUGGAGAUUGGUAAAUGCAUGUUCAAAAUCCACAUUCCGGAAAUCUCCUCAUUUUAAAAAUUGUUUCCUUUCCACUAGGGGGUAUUCGUUAAGUUUGGGGCAACUUGUGCUGCUGCUGCUGCCAUUACAGUAUUGAAAAUGUGAUUCUGAAAGAAGUUAAUUCAUUACUUUGCAAUUCUGAGCUUCUGGAAGCAAAAGCCCACGUGGGCUGCAUGCCACUGAGAUAUGCUACGCCAGUUCUGCAGUCUUCGAACCCUUCAUAAUCUUUUGUGUUUGCUGGUAGGGGUAGCCCACCCAGCAUAAAAAGGCAUGCAAAUGAUUUUAACAGACAAGCAUUGCGUUAGAUCGAGGUUUCCAGUGCUAAACUAUCCAGAAAGAUUUAGACAAUUUUUUCCCUAUGGUAAAAUGCAUAUGUUAGUUUAAAGAUGAAGAGAAAUGAAAUGUGUUAUUUAUAGCAUGAAAUAUCCUUAAUAUUACACACAUGUGUAUUUCACUUAAUCAUUGUUUUGAUAAAUGCCCGCACUGCUAAACACCUAAUGUACAACAGGAUGUGGUUCCCACUUAAAUUAGCAGAUGCUAUAGUUUCUGAUUGUUAAUGAUGGACCUGUUUGCCAAUAAAAACAACUGAUGGAUCAGCAUGUGUGAGCUACUGAACCUCAGCAAAAGCCCAAACUAAUGAGAGAGAGAGAAAAAUGCUUCAGGUCACAGUCAGCAGAUGGGAACUGGCCAGAUGUCUGUCUGGGGCAGGGAAAGUGCAGCAUGUAUUUAAAUAUGUAUCUAUGUUUUUAUAUAGUAGCAAUCACUGGGAAGUUCAAAUACUGAGGCUAACCAAAGCAAUGGUUUUGAAGUUUACUUUUGCAAUUGGGGGAGAAAAAUAAAUGAAAAGGGCACAUCUCUAAAUCUGAAACUUCAGCUAUCAGAUGGCACUGAAAUGGUCAUUACAUGCAAUUUAGAACUCAAGAAAUAAACUCGAAAUGUUGCAAGUCAGAAGAAAGUUGCAUUAGGUGAUUUUGGCAACAUAAAAUGCCAUCUGUGGGCAGCUGAAAAUAAAAUCAUGUUUUAAUUUUCUCUUAUAUUUUUAUUAAGCAAGACAUGCUAUAAAACAUAACAUGUCUAAACAACAUUUUUUGCAAGACUGCAAACGAGUGGAGAAUAUUAGCUAAAAAAGAUUAAAUUGUGCCAUUCUAGUAAAGAACCAAGUUAUACAGUUACAUAUUAAAAGCUAAACUAGCUAAUUUCCUAAACA